AUUGAACGCUGGCGGCAUGCCUUACACAUGCAAGUCGAACGGUAACGCGGGGCAACCCGGCGACGAGUGGCGAACGGGUGAGUAAUGUAUCGGAACGUGCCCAGUUGUGGGGGAUAACUGCUCGAAAGAGCAGCUAAUACCGCAUACGACCUGAGGGUGAAAGCGGGGGAUCGCAAGACCUCGCGCAAUUGGAGCGGCCGAUAUCAGAUUAGGUAGUUGGUGGGGUAAAGGCUCACCAAGCCAACGAUCUGUAGCUGGUCUGAGAGGACGACCGGCCACACUGUGACUGAGACACGGCCCAGACUCCUACGGGAGGCAGCAGUGGGGAAUUUUGGACAAUGGACGCAAGUCUGAUCCAGCCAUGCCGCGGGCGGGAAGAAGGCCUUCGGGUUGUAAACCGCUUUUGUCAGGGAAGAAACGCUCUGGGUUAAUACCUCGGGGUAAUGACGGUACCUGAAGAAUAAGCACCGGCUAACUACGUGCCAGCCGCCGCGGUAAAAC
rnacentral:rRNA from 1 species